AGGAAACAGAGAAGGGUCUUACACUCCAGUCUGCUCCAUCCCAGAAGAGCACUGAGACAUGCAACUGCAACACAGCUCAGCUGCGUACAGCUUCUUUUCAGGUUUAUAUAUAUUUAUCGCCUCUUUGAACUUCAUUCUGGAGGAGAAGGUGAUGGAAGAGCACAUCUACAUUGUGCCAGAUGUGUAUGUGCUCCAACCAUACCAAAAACAAUGGGCUGGUAGCACUCUGUCAUUUAGCAUGUGAACAAAUAUUUCAGGGCUUGGGUCUGUGAGAGACUGAAUGUCUUCCACCAGAGGACUGCACAUGCUCCACAGCGUUUCAAAAGACAGUAUAAAUCUAACCCACUCUAGGGGAGGUACCUGGAUGUUCCCACAUACACUUGAACAUGUAUUAACCUGUUGAACCCCAUGUUUUAUGGGACCCCCACAAUCAAGAAGACCUGAAGACCAGAGAGAACCAACAGGACACCUACUGGAUCCACAGGUCGUGAUACCUUUCUACUUAAUUUUUCUGUCACUCUCUAUUCACCUCCUGCUUUUGUUACUGUUUCUUUAUGUCUCUGUUUCACAUUUAUUAUUAAAUAAAAUCCUUAUUAUAGACUUCA